rnacentral:piRNA from 1 species
UGUGUUGAAUGAAUGACUGAAUGAUUCUUU